UAAUUGCAUAUAGGGGUGGUAAUCCAGCUCGCUGUUCGCCAGCUAGCUCGUAUUCUACUCGAAAUGAGUUUGAGAUCGAAUCGCUCGUUUAGUAAACGAGCCGAACACGAGCUGAAUUUUUCGAUUCGUUUAUUAAACUACCCGAACACGAGUUGGGGUCGGUUCGCUCUUGUUCGGCUCGAUAACAGCUCAAAUACAUAUAUUUUAUAUUUAUAUAAUUUAUUUAAUUUAUAUUUAUAUAUAUAAAUAAAUAAUUAUAUAUAUA
rnacentral:lncRNA from 1 species